rnacentral:rRNA from 1 species
UAGGGAAUCUUCCACAAUGGGCGAAAGCCUGAUGGAGCAACGCCGCGUGUGUGAUGAAGGCUUUAGGGUCGUAAAGCACUGUUGUAUGGGAAGAAAUGCUAGAAUAGGGAAUGAUUCUAGUUCGACGGUACCAUACCAGAAAGGGACGGCUAAAUACGUGCCAGCAGCCGCGGUAAUACGUAUGUCCCGAGCGUUAUCCGGAUUUAUUGGGCGUAAAGCGAGCGCAGACGGUUGAUUAAGUCUGAUGUGAAAGCCCGGAGCUCAACUCCGGAAUGGCAUUGGAAACUGGUUAACUUGAGUGUUGUAGAGGUAAGUGGAACUCCAUGUGUAGCGGUGGAAUGCGUAGAUAUAUGGAAGAACACCAGUGGCGAAGGCGGCUUACUGGACAACAACUGACGUUGAGGCUCGAAAGUGUGGGUAGCAAACAGGANUAGAUACCCUGGUAGUCCACACCGUNNCGAUGAAUACUAGGUGUUAGGAGGUUUCCGCCUCUUAGUGNCGAAGCUAACGCAUUAANUAUUCCGCCUGGGGAGUACNACCGCAAGGUU